AGCUCCAAUAGCGUAUAUUAAUGUUGUUGCAGUUAAAAAGCUCGUAGUUGCAUUUCCGAGGCAAGGGAUUAGUCCGACCUUUGGUGGGUAUUUAAUCCUCUUGCCUCGUCCUUGAGUGGUGCUUCUUGGUAUUAAGUUAUCGAGGAGAUAGCCGCUCAUCGUUUACUGUGAGAAAAUUAGAGUGUUCAAAGCAGGCUUAUGCCGUUGAAUAUAUUAGCAUGGAAUAAUAAGAUAGGACCUCGGUACUAUUUUGUUGGUUUGAGAACCAAGGUAAUGAUGAAUAGGGACAGUUGGGGGUAUUCGUAUUCAGUUGUCAGAGGUGAAAUUCUUAGAUUUACGGAAGACGAACUACUGCGAAAGCAUUUACCAAGGAUGUUUUCA
rnacentral:rRNA from 1 species